rnacentral:miRNA from 1 species
UGUCCAGUAACACCUUAGAGACCAACUAAGUCUGUUCUGAGUAUAAGUUUUCAUGUGUAUCUGAAGAAGUGUGCAUGCACACGAUAGCUUAUACCCAGAACAAACUUAGCUGGUCUCUAAGGUGUUACUGGACA